rnacentral:misc_RNA from 1 species
GUAUUGUAUUGCAUUAAACACAACAAACAUUCCAUGAGACUUUAUAACUGUGUGUGUGUGUGUGAAGAAGUAGAACCACAGUGGGAAGACGGGGUCCCCCACACCACAGAACUACCAAGGGUGCACAGAUGUGAAUGGGUGUGUAAACAGAGUGUGCACAUGCCCCCAUUUGAGGACCAGCAACAACUCGUGUCGACAGUUCAGUAAUGAUCCUUCCGCAGGUUCACCUAUGGAAA